GUACCUUUAGCUCAGUUGGUAGAGCAGACGGCUCAUAACCGUCCGGUCGUAGGUUCGAGUCCUACAGGGUACA
rnacentral:tRNA from 2 species